rnacentral:lncRNA from 1 species
AAACCGAAACUCCCGCCGGAUGCAUAAAAGACUGGCUGCGGUGGCUCAGAGCGCCGAGUCCUAGGCCAGGACUGCCAUUUUCAUUAAGAACUGCCACUUAGAGGUACCAAAAUAAAGGGUAUUUGCUACCUUUAAUACUUGCCAGUUCAGGUUGGAGGCACAGGCAGCAGCAAGAAUGGAAAGAAAUGUUCUUACAACAUUUUCACAGGAAAUGUCCCAGUUAAUUUUGAAUGAAAUGCCAAAAGCUGAAUAUUCCAGUUUAUUCAAUGAUUUUGUUGAAUCUGAAUUUUUUUUGAUUGAUGGGGAUUCAUUACUUAUCACAUGUAUCUGUGAGAUAUCAUUUAAGCCUGGGCAGAACCUCCAUUUCUUCUAUCUGGUUGAACGCUAUCUUGUGGAUCUUAUUAGCAAAGGAGGACAAUUCACCAUAGUUUUCUUCAAGGAUGCCGAGUAUGCGUAUUUCAACUUCCCUGAACUUCUUUCUUUGAGAACUGCUUUAAUUCUUCAUCUUCAGAAGAAUACCACCAUUGAUGUUCG